GGCCUUUUGAGUAUGAUUUAAGGUCUAGCCUGCCCAAUGAUGUAAAUUAAAUGGCCGCAGUAUUCUGACUGUGCAAAGGUAGCAUAAUCAUUAGUUUUUUAAUUGAAAGCUUGUAUGAAAGGUUUGAUGAGAGAAAAGCUGUCUCUGUUUAAAAUUUUAGAAAUUUAUUUUUAAGUAAAAAAGCUUAAAUAUUUAUUGAAGACGAGAAGACCCUAUAGAGUUUGAUUUAUAUAAUAAUAUAUAAAAUUUAGUAUUUAAGGUUUUAUUUUUAUAUGAAUUUGGUUGGGGCGAUUAAAAAAUUUAUAUAACUUUUUUUGUAUCUAAACAUUUAUUUAUGAGUUUUUGAUCCUUUAUUAGAUUAUAAGAUAAAAUUACCUUAGGGAUAACAGCGUAAUUUUCUUUAGAGUUCUUAUUGAAGAGAAAGAUUGCGACCUCGAUGUUGGAUUAAAAUUAAAUUUUUGGUGUAGAAGCUAAAAAAUUAGGUCUGUUCGACCUUUAAAUUUUUACAUGAUCUGAGUUUAAACCGGCGUAAG
rnacentral:rRNA from 1 species